rnacentral:rRNA from 1 species
AUGAACGCUGGCGGCGUGCUUAACACAUGCAAGUCGAACGAAGCACCUCAAUUGAAGAUUGACGAAGCUUGCUUCUGAUUGAUUCGCCUUGAGGUGACUGAGUGGCGGACGGGUGAGUAACGCGUGGGUAACCUACCCUAUACAGGGGGGAUAACAGUUGGAAACAGCUGCUAAUACCGCAUAAGCGCACAACUUCGCAUGAAGCAGUGUGAAAAACUCCGGUGGUAUAGGAUGGACCCGCGUCUGAUUAGCUAGUUGGUGAGGUAACGGCUCACCAAGGCGACGAUCAGUAGCCGACCUGAGAGGGUGACCGGCCACAUUGGGACUGAGACACGGCCCAAACUCCUACGGGAGGCAGCAGUGGGGAAUAUUGCACAAUGGGCGAAAGCCUGAUUGCAGCGACGCCGCGUGAACGAAGAAGUAUUUCGGUAUGUAAAGUUCUAUCAGCAGGGAAGAAAAAUGACGGUACCUGACUAAGAAGCUCCGGCUAAAUACGUGCCAGCCGCGGC